rnacentral:tRNA from 1 species
GGGGCCGUCGGCUAGCUUGGUAGGCUGCCAGGCUUGGGCCCUGGUGGCCGGGGUUCAAAUCCCCGCGGCCCCA